rnacentral:lncRNA from 1 species
GGUCAGUGGAGUCAGCUUACUGUUAUGGGAAGCCUGUUAGAGCUCCAGGAGCUGACGAGGUUGUCAUAAUUGGAGUGAUAAAUGUGGGAUUUGCCAUUGACUCGACGGGGAUGAUACCGUAAGUAGGCACUGCAUUCAGCAUUGGAGAAACUUGAUAUGAUCCACUUGCAGCCAAUUGUUUCUGUAAUGGUGUGCUGCUCUG